GAAAAUUGUUUGGAAAAUUUUAAAAAUUAUUAUUAUUUGAAUAUUAAAAUAUUAAACAAGUGCCGUGAACUGGUUUGUUAACUUUGACAGAUUGGAAAUAGAAUUGAUGAAAGAAGAGACCGUUCCCUUAAUGAGUAGAGAAUUUUCCGAAAUCUAAACAGAAAAUGGCAUCACUAGCGACCCACCUAUCAGCAUUUAUCUUCCUCUUACCCACCGGUCUCCGUCGUCUCGUUUGCUCAUCAUCACUCUACCUCAAAAGCCCAGCUCUAUUCAAAUCCAAAACAUGGUUUUUCUCAGAACCCAGAUGGAAAAACCUGGACUUUUACAUUCUCAUCAUAGCUCUUCCAUUAUCCUCCUUCUCGGAGACUUUUAUCUUCUUGACUUUUUCAGGGCACCCAACUUACAGAUUUGCCUUUCUGCAGCAAUCUAUGGUGGUUUUCCUCUUCUGGGUACUCCUCCUUUUGAUCAUCCUCAGAGAAAACGUUGACCCUUUAUAUAUCAACGAAGGUUUCGCCUUUGUCUUCGCUGGUUUGACUUUUCUUGCUGAGUAUUUUGUGAUGGGAAAAGGAAUAACGGGUUUUAGUAGCACGGCGUAUGAUUUAUUAGGUACAUUGACCCUUGUCUCUGCCGGUUGCUCAUUCUAUUUAUCAGUUAGGCCCUCGGCGUUUUUUGCCGAGUUUUUGCUAUCUUCGGGGUUAAUUUUCAAAGGGACUUGGAUUUUGCAAUCUGGGUUGUCUUUGUAUACCGAUACAUUUGGGUUCAAAGGGUGUCAGAAAGUAAUGGUGUCGCCGGGUAAAGAGGAUGCUGAAAUGGGGUGUGAUCUAGAGGAGGAUGGUUUCAGGGCUGUGGCUUUGAUGAGAUUGUUGUUCAUCGGGCAUGCGAUUUUGGUUUUGCUUUUGAGUUUCGGAUUGUUUGGAUUGUUGUCAAAGAACCAGAAACUGAGGUUUGGUGAGGGUGGUGGUCCUUUGCUUUCCCAGCUUGAUUCAGAGAACAUGCUGAUACGGACUAGCGCGGAGCUUGAGAUAGAGUGAAAUAUUAAUUUUCCUUAUGGGCUUCCCCAAGCAAGUAGCAUGGACUUGAGAAGGUUCAACAAUCUCCACAACAUCAGAACAGAUUCCCUCUAUCAUCUGUAUGGUAUAAUGUGAAAGCCCAUAUGAUUGCAACACUCCUUGGGACAGUAGUGGCGUUGAUAUUGACAAGUAAGUAAGCUGUGGAUCUGAUGCUGGACACUGUUUAUGACAAAGUGAAUAUAUUAGAGAUAUUCUGAACAUAUUUUGCAAAAUUGACAACCACAAAAACAAUAUAAACAAGUGAAAAAGAAUCCCAUUAACAACAAAAAAAAGAUGCCUUUUGUAGUUGCUACACAAGAAACACAACUUUAAUACACAGUUUAUAUACAUUCUAUAGUUCAAAUAGAGCUCUGUUCUGAUUAGUAGUACCUGUACAUGGUAUUCCACUGACCCAAAUUCAUACAAGUGAUGAUCAAUCUCCAUGGGCUUUUGAGCACUGUAAUCAAAUAGACAUCAUUAAGAAUACAAAUUUUCUGGAUUUUGUGACAAUACUUAAAAAAAAACCCUCUAUUAUUAAACAUUGCUGUCCCUUUAUAUCUAGGGUUUGGAAUUUUCCUUUUUCUUUUUCCUCCAAUAACUUCACAGUAUUAGCCAUAAAUGCCAUACAUGAAAUUCUUGUCAAGUUUGUUUCCCUUUUGUU